rnacentral:ncRNA from 1 species
UAAGCAGGGGUGCCGUGAUGAACGGCUGAGAGAGCGAGAGCUUAACCCUUUGAACCUGUUGGUUAGUACCAUCGUAGGGAAGCUGU